ACGCGCGUCGACCUAAGCUAGCGCAUGCGCCUGGAAACGGGCCCCGCUGCGGCGAGAGGUGCUGCUGGUCCUAAGGGUGUAUCUCCUGUAUGGAGGUUUUUCAGCUUGCGUAUCCUAUAGACGGAGGAAGGUCAGAAGCCGUGGGGUUGCGGUUAGGACUUGUGGACUCCUUGUGAAGAGCUGGAGUAGAGCGAGGCGAGCCAACUUGAAGAGGACCGCGGGGACGUUGGGGACCAGGGGAGGACGGCAAUGGUGGGAAUGAGGAGGAAGAGUCUGAGGUGGUAGCAUAGGACGACCCUGAACUCACCUUUUCCAUGGGCACACUGUAUCUGUACCUAUACAGAGAAGAAUUCUUCCUGAAGAGGUACUGAGGGCUGAUUGAACAGCUGCUGCACAACAAAGGAUGACACAGCAAAUGGAGACACAGUAAUGAUGGGAAACCCACCCCUGAGGCUAUGAACUAUGAUAGUGAGAGAUAGCAUGGAGGGACCCAUGUGUAGAUUUGCCUGAUCUGGGGCAUAGCAAAAAAAAAAAAAAAAAAAAAAAAAGGGCAACUAGACUGUAAGUAAGGAAACCCAUUUA